AUGGCGGCGGCGGCGACGAUGACGUGGCACGAGGAGCUGGCCACGCUCGUCGGCGACACGGGCGUGCGCCUCCCUGCCGCGGCCGGGGGCGCGGCGCCGGCGCCCAAUUCGGCGGCGGCGGUCGGGGGCGGCUGGUACGGGGAGGAGGAGGAGGGGAAGGUGGAGGAGGGGUGGGCGCAGCAGGCCAGGGGGUUCGCAGAGUCCACGGCGGAGAUGCUGCGGGAGCUGGGGCUCGGCGUGUGGGACGUCGCCGCGCAGAGCCUCGCCGGCGCCGAGGACAGCGAGCUCGCGCGGCGGCUGCGGCGGCCGGCGGCGGCCGCGGGCAAGCGCCUCAGCUUCAUGAACGAGUACCUCCCCGAGGACCGCGACCCCGUCAGGUGCUGGGUCGUCGUUGCCGCCGUCGCAUUCGUCGCGCUCCUCGUAUUAGGUGUAGGGGGUGGGGAUGAUACCCCAGUGGAGCAACCGAAGAAACUUUACAUAAGCCCCCCAAAUGCUAAAAGAUUUCAACUUCCUGAUGGACGGCACCUGGCUUACGAAGAAAAAGGAAUUUCAGCUGACAGGGCAAGAUUUUCACUGGUUGCUCCCCAUUCUUUUCUUUCGUCAAGGCUAGCAGGAAUCCCUGGAAUCAGCUCAUCACUUCUAGAGGAAUUUGGGGCACGACUUGUGACCUAUGAUCUUCCUGGUUUUGGUGAAAGUGAUCCUCAUCCAGGCCGAAAUCUGAAUUCUUCUGCAUUAGACAUGCUUCACUUGGCCGAUGCCCUUGGGAUUGUGGACAAGUUCUGGGUUGUAGGCUAUUCUGGAGGUGGCAUGCAUGCUUGGAGUGCUCUGCGCUACAUUCCUGACCGGGUGGCAGGUGCAGCAAUGUUCGCCCCUAUGGCAAAUCCGUAUGACUCCAAAAUGACCAAGGAUGAGAAACGUAAAAUUUGGGACAGGUGGUCAACUAAACGGAAACUAAUGCACAUUUUAGCUCGGAGAUUUCCAUCACUAUUGCGCCUCUUCUAUCACACAAGCUUCCUUUCUGGAAAGCAAGGACAGACUGAGAGUUGGUUAUCAUUGUCAAUGGGAAAGAAGGACAAAACCUUACUGGAAGCUCCUAUGUUCAACGCAUUCUGGGAAAAGGAUGUUGCAGAGUCUGUGCGCCAGGGAGAUGCGCAACCAUUUGUAGAGGAAGCUGUGCUGCAAGUAUCUGAUUGGGGAUUCAGUUUGUCAGACAUUCAAAUGCAGAAGAAAGAGGAUCAGGGAGUAUUUGAAUUUAUCAAGUCUCUGUUCAGUCAGGCUGAACGAGAGUGGGUGGGAUUUCUGGGCCCAAUCCACAUCUGGCAGGGAAUGGAUGACCGGGUGGUGCCCCCAUCGGCGACCGAGUUUGCCCGGAGGAUGGUUCCAGGAGCCACUGUCCACAAGCUUCUGGACGAAGGCCACUUCUCAUACUUCUGUUUCUGCGAUGAGUGCCACCGUCAGAUAUUCUCCACCCUGUUUGGCACCCCGCAGGGCCCUCUGAAUCCUGCACUGGAAUCCAGUGAAGUGGCCCCGGAACCGGUGGAAGAAACAAGCCCUGCAUAUGACGAAGAAGUUGCAGGGCAGGAGCAGGAAACAUCAGGCGUGGCCUGA
rnacentral:rRNA from 1 species